rnacentral:lncRNA from 1 species
AAUUCUCACUUUUUGUAAGUUUUAAAAGGAUUUGGAAAAAAAAUCAUUACUUUUCUUUUUCAGAGCCACUAUUUCUUUAUAUCAGCAGUUUCAGUCAAGAUUGAAUGGGAUGGCCCUCAGGACUACAAUGGAAAAUUCUAUCUCAGUUUCCCUAUGUGACUUGUUUAAAGAGCACUGAUCCAUGAAGUCUCAGACACAGUGGAGAACAGUGGCUGAGUAGCUGGCCUAUCUGUCUUUGAAAGAACACCUUGUGGUUCAUUAACACUUUUGUGAAUAGAAAUUAUGGGCUGGCAUCAGUGAGCAGGCUUAAAACAACAAAAACAAAAUAGAUAAAUAAGAACUCCAUGACUGGCUCUGCCUCCUACUGUUGAUAGAAUGUGACAAAAAGGAAUGUCUGUGCAGGAAAAGACAAAAUAAGCUCCACAAGUGAUCACAUGUAUUUAGACUAAAGAAUCCCUGUAAAUGUCAGACAACAGUCUUGAUCAUAAGGGAGCAUGUUUUUGAUGCACAAAUUUCAUCUGGGUUUUCUCUCCACAGGGGGACCUGGGGCCUGAGGGACUACGGGGACUGCCUGGCAUGCCGGGACCUCAGGUAAGCUGAUCCCUUGAAUUUAGAGAUUAUAACUCAGGGAGCACAUAGACACAACAAUUUCUUUUUCUACAGUGGUAACUUUUGUGGGAAUCUUUUCUUUUCUUGACUGUUUUUUGCACCUGUCUUGUAGGGCCCAGCGGGACAAGUCGGCCUGCCUGGAUUGAAAGGUGAUAAGGGUGAAGUGGGACAAAGGGGGGAGCCUGGAGAGAUGGGGUACCAAGGUGAUAAGGGAGCUCUUGGUGCACCUGGACCUCCUGGGCCCAAAGGGAUGCCAGGACCAUCGGUAUGUCGAAUGUCUCUUUGCUUCCUUUAAUUCUUUAAUAUCUAUCUCUAGGAACAUCUUGCAGCACUUUGUUUCUAUGUUUACCCCCCAUCAGUUCUCAUAAAAACCUUCAACACAAAGAGACUUGGAAAUUCAAACCAAAGAUUUUAGUAAAAGGAUCAUAGCACACUUGGUCUAACGUCUUAUACACUCCUUAUCACCUUUUUUACAGUAUUCGGAGCCUACUUAGCUACAUUCAGGUGAAGAUGGGGCUCACUCUUUUCAUUGCAGGCCACACAGAGACAGACAACGCCAAACACAUUCACACAUAAGGGAUCACUUAGAAUCUUCAAUUAAGCAAUGAAGCAUGUUGUGGACUAUGGGAGGAAGGCAGAAUGCUCA